GGGGAGUGCACAAGUACACGCGAUGGGGAGUCAAAAGAAGAUGAUAUGCAUGCUUUCCCAGCAAGCUUUGGCCUUAAAGGAGAGACUCUGAGCUCUAUUUCUGAUGUUUCUUUGUUGGAAUUGUUACCAAAACUCACGGGAGGCCAAAUGGAUAUCGUAAGCUUUGAAGGACAAGUGGAGGAACAUGAGUGUGAUGACAAACGGCUGUGGUUCUAGAGAGAAAGCAAGGUUGGCUCUCAAAAGAAUGAAUCAAGCCCGUAAACAGGAUAAGAGGUCUUUAUCUAUCUCCACUAAGGCUAAAAGUGAUGAGGAAAUGGCUGAAGCAAGGCUAGCUACUACUUCUAGUGAUUCUCCACAGAUUCGUGGGUCAAAAAGAUCUAUCAUAAGUUUUUUGUCUUACUUUUUGCUGGAAGGACGACUAUCUCUAAGUGUUGCUGCUUUACUACUAUUAUAGAUUGGAAAAUCUUAUAAUGGAGGCUAUAAGCAACUUGAAGGUGCCGGGUGGUUCCAACAAGACUACUAUAGCAACGUACAUAGAGUUCUCUAGAGAGGCCGAAGCUGAUGCUGAAGCUGCAAUGAAAGCACUACAAGGGGAAGCACCCCAACGAUGGUAAGAUAUUUGUACAAUAUCCGGUCAGUUACUUGGUUUUUCUUGAUUGCGUUUUGGUUGUACUAGAAAAAAUCGUUAUUUUUUUCAUUUAAUUAUAAACCGACUAAAUUGAUCUGCCAGGAGUCGAACCCGGGUCUAUUGCUUAAAAGGCAAUUAUCCUAACCGUAGGACUACAAAUGCUUGCCUAUUGUACAUUCUCAAGGCAUAAAUAUUAUCUGUACUAUCUAAAGACUACUCUUCCAACCUAUUCAUUAUGAAUCUUCAUGUAUUUGGGUCAAGUUUUACAUUUAAAAAAAAGAAAUUGAAA